UAGGGAAUCUUCGGCAAUGGGGGCAACCCUGACCGAGCAACGCCGCGUGAGUGAAGAAGGUUUUCGGUAUCGUAAAGCUCUGUUGUAAGAGAAGAACGUGUGUGAGAGUAGGAAAGUUCACACAGUGACGGUAACUUACCAGAAAGGGACGGCUAACUACGUGCCAG
rnacentral:rRNA from 1 species